UGCAAGUCGAACGGCAGCGCGGGGCAACCUGGCGGCGAGUGGCGAACGGGUGAGUAAUAUAUCGGAACGUACCCAAGAGUGGGGGAUAACGUAGCGAAAGUUACGCUAAUACCGCAUACGAUCUAUGGAUGAAAGCAGGGGACCGCAAGGCCUUGUGCUCCUGGAGCGGCCGAUAUCUGAUUAGCUAGUUGGUGGGGUAAAGGCCCACCAAGGCAUCGAUCAGUAGCUGGUCUGAGAGGACGACCAGCCACACUGGAACUGAGACACGGUCCAGACUCCUACGGGAGGCAGCAGUGGGGAAUUUUGGACAAUGGGCGCAAGCCUGAUCCAGCAAUGCCGCGUGAGUGAAGAAGGCCUUCGGGUUGUAAAGCUCUUUUGUCAGGGAAGAAACGGUGGCGGCUAAUAUCCGCCACUAAUGACGGUACCUGAAGAAUAAGCACCGGCUAACUACGUGCCAGCAGCCGCGGUAAUACGUAGGGUGCAAGCGUUAAUCGGAAUUACUGGGCGUAAAGCGUGCGCAGGCGGUUUUGUAAGUUUGUCGUGAAAUCCCCGGACUCAACCUGGGAAUGGCGAUGAAGACUGCAAGGCUAGAGUUUGGCAGAGGGGGGUAGAAUUCCACGUGUAGCAGUGAAAUGCGUAGAUAUGCGGAGGAACACCGAUGGCGAAGGCAAUCCCCUGGGCCUGCACUGACGCUCAUGCACGAAA
rnacentral:rRNA from 1 species